rnacentral:rRNA from 1 species
CGUUUGAUGAGCCUCACUACAGGGAUAACCGUAGUAAUUCUAGAGCUAAUACCUGCGAAACAUGUUGAGCGGUGCCUUCGGGUUCUCGCAAGACAUGCGUUUAUUAGAUCGUAAACCAAAGGGUUGGAGUGGUAACACACGAAAACCUUGAAGGUGAUUCAUAAUAAGGAAGCAAAUCGCACAGAAUCCAGGCGCAAGCCUGGAGGCGAUGAGUCAUUCAAGUUUCUGCCCUAUCAGCUGCGAUGGUACUGUAUUGGACUACCAUGGCUUUGACGGGUAACGGAGAAUUAGGGUUCGAUUCCGGAGAGGGAGCCUGAGAAACGGCUACCACAUCCAAGGAAGGCAGCAGGCGCGUAAAUUACCCAAUCCCAACUCGGGGAGGUAGUGACAAGAAAUACUUUUGAGGGGCCCCUUUGUUGGGUCUUGCAGCGGAAUGAGCACAAUCUAAAUCCCUUAGCGAGGAUCCAUUGGAGGGCAAGUCUGGUGCCAGCAGCCGCGGUAAUUCCAGCUCCAAUAGCGUAUAUUAAAGUUGUUGCAGUUAAAAAGCUCAUAGUUGGACCUCGGCGCGGGGGGGCAUGGUCGCGGGUCGGGGCAACCCGGUUUCGCGGCAGUCCCCCCGGCUCUCUCCGGGGCGUUGCUUCUUAAACAAAAGUAGCGCCCCCCUUUACUGUGAAAAAAUCAAGGCGUUCAAAGCAGGCAGCUCGUUGCAAUUGAGUGGUCCAGCAUGGAAUAAUGAAUCAAGCCAGUGUCUUGUUUUGUUGGUGACUCGACGAUUGGAAUGUUUAAUAGGAACAGUCGGGGAUAUCCGUACUUAGAAGUCAGAGGUGAAAUUCUUGGAUUUUCUAAAGACGAACAACUGCGAAAGCAUUAAUCAAGGAUGUUUUCAUUAAUCAAGAACGAAAGUUUGGGGAUCGAAGAUGAUUAGAUACCAUCGUAGUCUAAACCAUAAACGAUGCCGAUUCGGGAUAGUGAGGAAAUCUAGACGACUCGUGUAUCUCUUUUCGCAAGGAGGCACGAACCACGUCUCUCGCUGCACCGUAUGCGAAAGCAAAAUGUUUGGGUUCUGGGGGGAGUAUGAUCGCAAGGUUGAAACUUAAAGGAAUUGACGGAAGGGCACCAUCAGGCGUGGAGCCUGCGGCUCAAUUUGGCUCAACUCGGGGAAACUUAGCAGGGCAGGACAAAGUAAGGAUUGACAGAUUGAGAGCUCUUUCUUGAUUCUUUGGGUGGUGGUGCAUGGCCGUUCUUAGUUGGUGGAGUGAUUUGUCUGGUUAAUUCCGAUAACGAACGAGACCUCAACCUACUAACUAGUUGCGUGUAUUCUUUGGAGUACAUAACCUAAAGCAACUUCUUAGAGGGACUUUUCGCGUCUAGCGGAAGGAAGUUUGAGGCAAUAACAGGUCUGUGAUGCCCUUAGAUGUCCUGCGCCGCACGCGCGCUACAAUGACAAGGGCAGAAGGCGAUUCGGGGGCUGCGAGUACUCUCGGGUGUUCCGGUCCCCCUCCUCGGUCGAGAGACCAGGGUAAUCCUUUAACUCUUGUCGCGAUGGGGCUAGAUUCUUGGAAUUAUUAAUCUUC